rnacentral:lncRNA from 1 species
GGGAGAGUCUUUCCUGAGAGCACAUGCACCCCCAAAUGUCAAGUGCACUCGGACACACACACACACACACGCACACACAAGCACUCAUGUUCUAGAGAUAGAGGUCUGAGUCCGAAGUUGCUGCUGCUGGGAGCUUGAGCUGAGAUGGACUGGUCUUCAUGGGCGCCCAAGGCGCUGGGUGCAGCUUUCCCCGAGACCCCCAGAUGGAAAGGAGGGAAGGAGGAACCCCACACACUCGCCUUUUGGGAGAAGAUCGGCGCGCACCCCAGAGUGCCCCAAGCCUUUGGAAUCUGCCUGCUGAGCGGAGCGCGCGAGCGUGGUGGACAGGUCCCGAACUUGGCCAGCGGGCUUUCUUGGCAACUUGCUUUGCGCAGUUCUCCAUGGAACCCUGGACCCACUGUGCUCCCGGCGCCUUGCCUUUUUUUUCCUUUUUCUUUCUCUCACUCUCUCUUUUUAAAUUUAUGAACUCGAAAUGAAGCGGAAAGCAGAUAUGCGCGUCAGCAUACUUUGGCGGGGGUCAUUUUACUUCCUAUCAUCAACAAAAAUAGCCAGAAUGAUAUUGAAACUCAUGCAAUAACUACAGAUGAUCAUUUUAUUCAUCUUUGGAUGUGUUCAUUUUUCCAUUUUUUGGUGAAUUUCUGGACACUGAUGAUAAACCAUGACAGAAUACUUUUAUGUACUAUGCCUCCUCCUAAACAUUUUCCAGACACCUCAUUAUGUAACCUGCAGCUCAUAAUGAAUGCAUAACAUGUGUAUGAUAUUAAUAGAGUUCUUCUAAAGAGAUCUCCUACAUUUUUAUUUUCAAGUAGUUCUUCAUGUGGGGGAUUGUCAGUGGGAGAUGGCACUUCAUAAGGUCUGCGGUGGUCACCCCAGUCAUCAUCCGAGGUGUUGCACCAGUUUGUGUUGCAGUUUGAGCCAUGCUGCCGACCCCUUCCAGGGCAUCUGCCACGGGCACCUCCUCCAGUCCGUGCACUAAGAUUCAAGAGAGUUGAAGAACCAGGGAAUCGUUGUAAUAACAAGCAUUCUGAAUUGCAUCAUACUGUGUACUAGGUGAGUUUAAAAGAUAACUCAUCUCAAAUGGGUUAGCUUGACCAAUAUGGCUUAAUCAUGAUGUUUAACUGAUUUCAUCUUGCCAUGGAGCCUAUAUUCCCAUUGAUGGUGGAAGAAAAAAUAAUAUUUUCUUAGUUAAAGGUAACAAUCUUUUCUGGAAUGAAACUAUUUCUUUUUGAAAAAUCGAGUUUCUGAAUCCAUCAACUCAAAACUCAGAUUAUUUACUAGGGCCAUUUCCUGUUUGCUCCUUCUUCCAAAGUAGGUGUCUGGUGGCAAGACUGAUGCGAUGGCUUCCUGGAAUCAGGGCAGGGACCACACAUAAUCGAGGGUGUCACGUUUUGUUGCAUGUACCUGACCUCAUGUGGUGGCAUAGCUUCUCUCACCGGGACUCUGGGCCAAGGCCUCAGUCCUCCCUGUACCUACUGCUGUGGGGCCAGCUUAGUCACUCCCCUAGGCAUGGCCAAGGCAGAAGUCCCCUCUGCAGCUUGCUUUGUCCCACCUUGGCAUUCAUGUAGGAUCCAAGCAAGUCCCUCACCUGGCCCCUGGCUUAGACUGUCCACCCACAGCAAUCUUGGCUCUGAAAUCACCUUGUUUCUCACCUUGAUGGUUUCUUGACGGGCCUCAGCUCUCAGCUACCUUCCUCAGCAGGAGUAUUUGGGAACUUCUGUUGCUGGAAACACGGGAGAGCAUUCUGCCUGAAGGCCGCACUGCCGUUUCUCCUUUGAGGUAGAACAUCACCUUGGUGCAGAGCACUCCAUGAGGUCUCCUCCCAGAGCCUUCCCAGUGGGAGGUAGGUGCAAGCUCCUCUGCUCUCUGACUUAGUUCUGCCUCCAUCCCCGCCACACCCACUACUGAGAGGUGGAACCUCCUCCCCAGGAAGGGAGAAUCAAUAACUCUUUCUCCUGGCGGUGUACUCUUCUCUUGUUCUCUGUUGACAGAGCUUUAUACUUUAUUUGCCUGAUGGUGGGAACUUUCUCUACCUAUCCUGAGGUCUCUCCACCUGCGCUUGAUAAUAAAACUCUUGGUUCAGG